GACGAACGCUGGCGGCGCGCCUAACACAUGCAAGUCGAACGGAGCUUAAAGAGCUUGCUUUUUAAGCUUAGUGGCGAACGGGUGAGUAACGCGUGAGUAACCUGCCCUGGAGUGGGGGACAACAGUUGGAAACGACUGCUAAUACCGCAUAAGCCCACGGAUCCGCAUGGAUCUGCGGGAAAAGGAUUUAUUCGCUUCAGGAUGGACUCGCGUCCAAUUAGCUAGUUGGUGAGGUAACGGCCCACCAAGGCGACGAUUGGUAGCCGGACUGAGAGGUUGAACGGCCACAUUGGGACUGAGACACGGCCCAGACUCCUACGGGAGGCAGCAGUGGGGGAUAUUGCACAAUGGGGGAAACCCUGAUGCAGCGACGCCGCGUGGAGGAAGAAGGUUUUCGGAUUGUAAACUCCUGUCGUUAGGGACGAUAA
rnacentral:rRNA from 1 species